CAGUGACGUCACUGAUGACGUCACUGAUGACGUCAUCGGCAUCCGCAUCGUCACUGAUGACGUCAUCAGCGACGUCAUCGAUGACGUCAUCGUCA
rnacentral:pre_miRNA from 1 species